CUGCUUUUAUUACGUUGGUAAAUUCUGCACAGACAUCACACAAACCAACUCGCGCGCUAAGUAAGAAGACUAUAUGAAGGCUUGAAAUUACAUUUCGAUCGAUUUUCGUAAAGAAAUGGGCCAGGAAUAUUCCACAAAAGUGCAAAUAAUCGUGAAAGCUGAUCGCGGAAAAGCGAUUGCGUGACGCUCGAGAUCAAAUCCAGAUGAAGAAAAUCAGCUGAAACCAGAACUGAAGUUACAUGUAGAAGUGCUGCACAAAAAUUGAUCCACUCAGUUACUGGGUUGCAUCAGUGGUAGAUUCCUAUGGCUUGAGACUCAGGUUACCACUAGAAGGAUUGGAAGAUAAAGCUGAUGGUGUUUUGGUUUACUUCCUGUCUGAUACUGAUCACCAACUUGGGAAGAAAAAGAAGUUGAGACUCAACAUUCCUCCUGAAUUUGAAAAUUCUACAACCUUGAUAAAAACAUGUGAUGCAUGAGGUGCAUGCAGCCAAGUGUGUCCUGAUGUUCUAAUCACAUUUAGAUGUGUUUAGUGAUCUGUUACGGUACAAACCCAUGGCAACAUGGAAUCUGUUUGUUUUAUAUGAUGAAAAAGAAAACUUUGUUGAUGGAGAUGUCUUCUGUGCAUCUCUCUACCAAUAGAUCAUAAGAAAGUGCUCAAAAUGCAGGCAUAAUUCAGCUUAUCAUAUAAAAACCAAGUAUGAAAAUAUUGAAAUUGGGCUAUCAGUGUAUAUUUGAUGUGAUGUUUGAUAAUUGUACCUCUUCUUCAGUCUGACAGCUUGCCAAGGCCACAUGCAUGGAUUUACAAAGUGUUUGAAGCUAGAAGGUGUGAAUCCCAGUGAUCCUUCUUCCAUCUGUGCUGCUAUGGUUACCAAAAUACCUAGC